rfam:Thalassotalea sp. ND16A ctg21, whole genome shotgun sequence.
GGUUAAGUGACUAAGCGUAUGUGGUGGAUGCCUUGGCAGUUAGAGGCGAUGAAGGACGUGUUAAUCUGCGAAAAGCUGAGUUAAGCCG